UAUGGUGUGAUGGGAUUCCAGCAUGGUUAAAAUUUAGUAGGCCAAAAUCUCCAUGUGGCAUAUGUGUAUGUUGUGUCAGUUGGUUAGCUACAUGUAGCUAGGAUACUGUCAUCAGUGUACUGAGCAUGUGCAGGAAUGCAGGAACUGAAAUUGCACUUAUUUCCUUUGUCUUGGAUGAGCCAUGUGGUUUGACUAGAUGUACAAGUCUAUAUUCUGCUCAUUGAUUGGUUAAAGGUAUAUGUGGGUGUAGCUAUUAAUGGG